UUAAUUUGAGGAACAUUACAGCCUCCCCAUCAGUCCAUCUCAUCAGGCAUCUCUCAUCUGUACCGAUCUGAUGUUUUUGUUUUUGUAUCUUCAGUGGAGUGUUUGUACUUUGCAUUUUCUUUACACACCAACUACACCAACUUUUCAAUCUCAGCCAAGCAUAAAAACUGUUUUUGCAAUAUUUUAACAGUUUUUUUUCUCUGGCAUUUCCGGUCAGGUGUUUUCAUGCACACAUUAAAAAAGCGCAUAAAAACUGGUGGGUGGAAAUGCAUUUACAGUAUUGGUUGUAUUAUCUCAGUUUGUUACUGGUCAUUGUGUUUUUAAAAUAAAACCACAUGUGCUCAAUUGCCCUGGAUCUGCAUCUCUACCCAGCAGCAGGGGGCAAAACAUCUGUCCCUUUGGUUUCACUACAUGUCCACUGGGGGCACUGUGCAGCACAUCUGGACUGGUUGACCGUUGCCAAGGAGCUUCAAAGAACCUGGCAUCCUUUGAUGUUCUAUCACAUUGUCUGUACUCGCCAAGAAACAUCCUGUUUUUGGCAUCAGGUGCCACACCAGACACGCCAGAGUAUUCAUCCACAGCUGGGAGCAGUGUGUGAUCCACAGUGUAGCAAAGUAGAAACUGUUAAGACACAGCAACACUGGAUAAAGAAGAGGAGGAACACCUGACUGAGAACAACUGGAGUGUGACCAAACAGAUGUCUUCUACUGAGGCACCACAUAGGUUACAUGGCUGAGGCAGCUUUGCUCCAACCUUCACUACUGGUCAGCAAGAAAGGACACAACAGCAACAGUUUACACCUGCAGAUAAAGACAUGCUAAUGUUCGCCUCCAGCAGGCCUCUUUUGUUGGAGAGCAGAACAUCAAAUCAUCAACAUAUUGCAAGAGAGCACUCCUCCCUGCAUCUCACAGAGUAAGACUUGGGAUACUACACCCAGUGUAGAAUGGAAAAGUCCCUCAGCCAGUGUGUCAGCCCAUGCAUCAUGCUGGAUCAAGAUGCCACAACUGGUCCCUUGUCCUCAGAGCAUCUCACUGAGUACUUUGGUAUCACAUUCAGAGUAAGCCCCUUCAGCCAGGCUCUCUGUCAUUGAUGUGGACAUCCAAGGACAAAUUUCAUCUGAAUCCAAAAAGAAGUCAACGAUGAGGUCAACUCUCUCCAAGCAGUGGUUCUCGACUGAAGAUCCUCCACCAUCACUGCUGUUGCCAGCUUCUAGAUGUCAAAUGACAGAGAAACAAAGAAGGGUUUGGCUGGAGCUGUUGCAACCAUGAAAUCCUUCGUCAAAGGAUGAGUCACUGCAGUGCCUUUAUGGGAUUCCUCCA